AUUUCUACUUCUCGAUUUAAUCUCAAUAUCAUUUCACAGAGCAGUACAACACAAGCAGUUGCUAGCUCAACGUAAACCAGGCCCUUGCAAGAAGGCCCAAUUUAAAUUCCCUUGUAGCUGUCGAACACAUCAGAGUUCAAGCCUGGGCGGAAGCACAACACCAAACAGCCCCAGUUAAUCCCCAAAGAAAGCUAUAGAAAUCACAUUUGCAUUUAACGCCAGUUUUAUUUUUUAAUUCCUUGUUUCACUUGAUUCACUUAACACUUAAUUCAAUAUAUGCUGAUAAAUUCAAAUUCUGGAGAUCUAAACGUGUAGUCCAAUUACCCAUCUAUCUAUGUGUCCCAACUCAAAUUAAUACAAUAUUGAUUAUUUUGAUUCCAAUUCUAUGCCCAAAUUAUUUUAUACAUUACUCUACUAGUGGUUUCCUCAACACUAUACAGAAGCAGGUUGAUGACCCAAACUCAAAACAAACCAACUAUUUUUAAAUUGAUUAAAACAAACAUUAAUAAAGCUGUUUACUACGCCGGGACCUAACAUAAACAGGAGUUUGUAUAUUAUUUCGACUCACCUUUCCAAUUCUAAGCUACAACUACCACAGGAGUUCAACUACACUUCAUUGAAACUACAAGUUUAGAAGAAAUGGAAUCAGAUCCAGAGAUUAACAAUCCGGCUAAUUCAAAUUCAGUUUUUAAUUCAAUACAGUCCAAACAGUGAAUCUAGCUACAAUUAAACAUGAAUAACCAAGCUACAUGUUAACAGUUAAUCAACAAUUCUACAUGAACUCAGACGAACCGCGAACAAUUCUUCAUUUAUGGAUUCCACAGGUGCUUUAUACAAGUGAGUCAGACUUCCAGAUCAAGGGACAAUGGAAGUGUACCUGAAGAUGUGAAAUAUAAGAAUAAGAAGAGGAAAUCAGCAGCAGUAAUCACAGUUAAUACCCAGCAAUCAACAUAUAGCAGCAAUAGACGUGAUUUAGAACCAAAAACUGAUUAACAAAACCCAGGAAUACCACAGCAAUCAAAAACCCAGUAAACUGACCCAAAACUGACUUGUUUGAACUCAAAACCCACUCGAAAUCAAGCCAUGAAUAAUUCUAAACUUCAACUACCAGAAUUUGAGCUAAAAAUGCAAAUCCACAAUCUAAAACUAGAAAUUAGCUAAGAGAUCGAAUGGAACAGUACCCUUUUGAUUUCACUAGAUUUUUGUUGUUUUUAGCUUCUUUUUUUUUUGAAGAAAAUAAGUUCUAAAAGGAGUUUUGGAUUUGAAUUUGAAUUUUCAGAUCUGUAGAGCUUGAAGAGUAUGUAAGGGGAAUUUUGAGGCUUCAAAAAACUUAUUAAUGAAGGCAUUGGGGCUGCCUUUUAUAGGCAACAUGAGAUGAAAUUUCAUAUUUUUUUAGUUUUACAUAUUAGUCUCUCACUUAUUAACUUGUUACUCAAAUUAGUAUACUAUGUUUCUUGCAAUUACAACUAAAGCCCUAGUCUAGAAGGUCCUAGAAGACUCUAACAUUAAUUACCAUGUUCUACUCAAUUCUAAAUGUCUAAACUAGCCCUGAACUUACACCUAAACUAUAGCUAUAACCAAACAAUUUCCAAAGUUCUAAAUUGAACUACUGAAGAGUAAUCCCAACUUAAACUAUUGUUGAAUUUAUCAAGUGAAUCAAUAACCAAAUUAAACUAUCAAUCAUAACAAAAUUCUGCUAAUUACACGACUAAUUAAACUGAAAAUGAACUAACUGGUAAUUAUCCUAAACUAAAGGAAUACCAGAACUUGAUUCAAACAAAAAUAAAACCAACUAACAGAUUAUCACAGGCUUAACUAAAAUCAGGAGUUGGAACAAAUUACAAUCAAACGAAUAACUAGAAUUAAUAAAAACAACUCAGAACACAAGAUUAAAACAUUAUUGACAAAAUUAAAACACACAUUAGACUGGAAAUUAAUCAUAGUGAGAAAUGAGCAAUAGAAGACAACUAAACAAAGAAAAGAAAAGAAAAUUGAAACUCACUGGCAUAACUUAAAAAUUCGGCUGCCUCUCGAUUUAAAAUUUGGGUGAUUCUGAUGCUAUUUGAAUGUCGUAGACACCGGAUUCUUUGUGAAGAUGAUGAGGAGAACUUAUGGUAUUGAUUUGGUAGGGUUUGGAAGAAUAAGGGUUUUGCCGGAAAUUUUAAAUUGAAAUUCGAUAGGUUCUGUCUAGAUUUGAGGGACGGGGCUUGGGGGCUCGAAAUAGGAAGGGGAGAGGAAUCUAUGGUGUUAUUUUGGAGUGGUUUGGGAAGAAUUGUGUUCUGACCAGAAAACUUCAAUCCCAGAUUCAAAACGUUUGGAUAGGAUUUGAAGGAAACGGGUUGUGGAUAUGGAAAGAGGAGGAAGAGAGGAGUGAAGGGUGUAUCUUUGGAGUGGUUUGGAGAAGGGUCGCCGGCGGCGAUGAUUUUCGACCGGUGGCAUUACACUGGGUGUUUUGAGAGGGUAUGGGGACGAUGACUUAGGGGGGUUGGCUCAUUCCGGCCAUAUUAUAAUUUUUUGACCCUAGCUUCGUUGUCGUUAGAUCAACAGACCUUGACGGCCUAGAUUAAAGCUAGACUAAACGGGGUUGUUUUGGGUUGUAACGGAACUGGACGGGUUUGGGCUGGGAUUAAAACGGGUUAAGGGUAUU
rnacentral:lncRNA from 1 species